AAUAACGAAAGGUGAAGCGCUACAUACAAUUUGUAUGUAGCGCUUCACCUUUCGUUAUUUU
rnacentral:miRNA from 1 species